GCAUCCGGGCAGCGUGGGGAGGAGAGAAGAGAAGAAGCGUUACGGAGCAGGAGAGGACCCGACGCUGAAGGACCACCCCCCUUGGUUGUCCAGGUUCUUGGCCCGUCACCUCCUUGGCCCCCCCCCCCCCCCCAUUUUUUUUGGCCCCCCUACCACCCCUGCACUCACCCUUCGGGCUUUGCUCUGGUACUUUACGGCUUUUUUGGUGUCCGACACGGCCCGUUCCACGUAGUCGACCGAGUGCUCCACGUUGUACUCGAUGCGGUCAAUCAUCUCGCCCUGAGAGCCAGAACCGCCCCGUGAGACCCCCUCCCCAAAAAAAAAGGGGGGGGGCACUGGCAUCCUGGGAGAGCGGGAUUCUAGGAGGUUCUAGGUGGUUCAACUGGGUCUUGGUGGGCUCAAGAGCCUCUUAUGGUGGGUUCUUGAUGACCCAACGGGUUGUUGGUGGGCUUAAAAGUUUUUGGUGAUGUCUAGAUGAACCACCAGACCAGGUUCUAGAUGACCCUUGGUGGUCAUC
rnacentral:lncRNA from 1 species